rnacentral:rRNA from 1 species
GACGAACGCUGGCGGCGUGCUUAACACAUGCAAGUCGAACGGAAAGGCCCUGCUUUUGUGUGGUGCUCGAGUGGCGAACGGGUGAGUAACACGUGAGUAACCUGCCCUUGACUUUGGGAUAACUUCAGGAAACUGGGGCUAAUACCGGAUAGGAGCUCCUGCUGCACGGUGGGGGUUGGAAAGUUUCGGCGUUUGGGGAUGGACUCGCGGCUUAUCCGCUUGUUGGUGGGGUAGUGGCUUACCAAGGCUUUGACGGGUAGCCGGCAUGAGAGGGUGGCCGGCCACAUUGGGACUGAGGUACGGCCCAGACUCCUACGGGAGGCAGCAGUGGGGAAUAUUGCACAAUGGGCGGAAGCCUGAUGCAGCAACGCCGCGUGCGGGAUGACGGCCUUCGGGUUGUAAACCGCUUUCGCCUGUGACGAAGCGUGAGUGACGGUAAUGGGUAAAGAAGCACCGGCUAACUACGUG